rnacentral:rRNA from 1 species
UUGGAGGGCAAGUCUGGUGCCAGCAGCCGCGGUAAUUCCAGCUCCAAUAGCGUAUAUUAAAGUUGUUGCAGUUGAAAAGCUCGUAGUUGAACUUCGGGGUUUACCCAUUGGUCAGGCUUAAUUGUCUGUACUGGUGAGAUGAAUCUCUACCUUCUGAGGAACUUUCAUGCCAUUUAUUUGGUGUGAUGGGAAAUCAGGACUGUUACUUUGAAAAAAUUAGAGUGUUUAAAGCAGGCUAACGUCUGAAUACAUUAGCAUGGAAUAAUAAAAUAGGACGGUGGUCCUGUUUUGUUGGUUUCUGAAUCACCGUAAUGAUUAAUAGGGAUAGUUGGGGGCAUUAGUAUUCAAUUGUCAGAGGUGAAAUUCUUGGAUUUAUUGAAGACUAACUUCUGCGAAAGCAUUUGCCAAGGAUGUUUUCAUUAAUCAAGAACGAAAGUUAGGGGAUCGAAGACGAUCAGAUACCGUCGUAGUCUUAACCAUAAACUAUGCCGACUAGGGAUCGGACGAUGUUAAAUUUUAUUGACUCGUUCGGCGCCUUACGGGAAAC